GACGUAGGGCGCGAGCGUUGUCCGGAUUUAUUGGGCGUAAAGAGCUCGUAGGCGGCUUGUCGCGUCGUCCGUGAAAACCUGCGGCUCAACUGCAGGCUGGCGGUCGAUACGGGCAGGCUGGAGUUCGGUAGGGGAGACUGGAAUUCCUGGUGUAGCGGUGAAAUGCGCAGAUAUCAGGAGGAACACCGGUGGCGAAGGCGGGUCUCUGGGCCGGAUACUGACGCU
rnacentral:rRNA from 1 species